rnacentral:lncRNA from 1 species
GCAUCUCGGUGCGCUGCAAGAGUUGGUUCACCAAGGUCGUGUGCUGUGCGAGGGCGCUCGUCAACUCUAUGACUUGUCGAGACAAGUGUUGUUCUCCGUUUGGGUUGGAAUAGCUUGGAAGGAAUGCAUCUCCUUGAGCAAUGGAAGUGUGGUAGACUCCGUGUGUGAGAUUUGAGUUGGGAAAUGUCAAAUCCGUAGAAAAAUAUGGUGAAAAUUCUCGAUGUUCGAUCGUCGGUCCGAAAAUUUGGAGCCGGGACAGUUGAACUAAUCUUGAAU